GCAGCUGGGCACCCCUGAGCUCUGUGCUGCAACCCUGGGGCAUUGGGCUCUGUCUUUCGGCCCCUCGGGGUCAGACACCUGCUGUGUUGGGGGAUCCGAAGUGCUCCCAAGCUGCCUGGAAAGCAUUCAGGCGGGGUCGCUAGCAAGAACUCAGGCUGGGCAGCGGAGGCGGCACGGUGCACACACUCCUGCAGGAACAACCAGGCAGGGGCUUUGGGAGGGGCUGCGUGCAGGGGGUCCCGCAGAACAUAUGCGCCCCAGUCCCGCAGGAAGGACAGCCCUGCUCUCUCUUGGUCCACUGGUGGUGACAGCACUUCCUGGAAUAACGUUGCUUUGGAUUUAACAACAGUUGGGCAAAGGAGGUCGGUAUACAGAUAUAGGACAAGAAGAGUGGUGUCAAAAGGAGGCUAAAUCAUUGGUUCUGGCUUCAUCUAAGGAAUUCUUAUAAGAAAUCGAGGGAGAGACUGUCCUGGGAAGUCUGAUGAAACAUAAAUGGGGUUUUGCUGUGUCGCCUAGGCUGGUCUCGAACUCCUGGAUUCAAGCAAUCUGCCCGCUGCAGCCUUCUAAAGUGCCGGGAUUACAG